rnacentral:rRNA from 1 species
GACAAACGCUGGCGGCGUGCUUAACACAUGCAAGUCGAACGGAAAGGCCCUGCUUUUGUGGGGUGCUCGAGUGGCGAACGGGUGAGUAACACGUGAGUAACCUGCCCUUGACUUUGGGAUAACUUCAGGAAACUGGGGCUAAUACCGGAUAGGAGCUCCUGCUGCAUGGUGGGGGUUGGAAAGUUUCGGCGGUUGGGGAUGGACUCGCGGCUUAUCAGCUUGUUGGUGGGGUAGUGGCUUACCAAGGCUUUGACGGGUAGCCGGCCUGAGAGGGUGACCGGCCACAUUGGGACUGAGAUACGGACCAGACUCCUACGGGAGGCAGCAGUCGGGAAUAUUGCAGAAUGGGCGGAAGCCUGAUGCAGCAACGCCGCGUGCGGGAUGACGGCCUUCGGGUUGUAAACCGCUUUCGCCUGUGACGAAGCGUGAGUGACGGUAAUGGGUAAAGAAGCACCGGCUAACUACGUG